GACGAACGCUGGCGGCGUGCUUAACACAUGCAAGUCGAACGGAAAGGCCCUGCUUUUGUGGGGUGCUCGAGUGGCGAACGGGUGAGUAACACGUGAGUAACCUGCCCUUGACUUUGGGAUAACUUCAGGAAACUGGGGCUAAUACCGGAUAGGAGCUCCUGCUGCAUGGUGGGGGUUGGAAAGUUUCGGCGGUUGGGGAUGGACUCGCGGCUUAUCAGCUUGUUGGUGGGGUAGUGGCUUACCAAGGCUUUGACGGGUAGCCGGCCUGAGAGGGUGACCGGCCACAUUGGGACUGAGAUACGGCCCAGACUCCUACGGGAGGCAGCAGUGGGGAAUAUUGCACAAUGGGCGGAAGCCUGAUACAGCAACGCCGCGUGCGGGAUGACGGCCUUCGGGCUGUAAACCGCUUUCGCCUGUGACGAAGCGUGAGUGACGGUAAUGGGUAAAGAAGCACCGGCUAACUACGUG
rnacentral:rRNA from 1 species